rnacentral:rRNA from 1 species
AUUGAACGCUGGCGGAAUGCUUUACUCAUGCAAGUCGAACGGUAGAGGGGGCAACCCCUCGAGAGUGGCGAACGGGUGAGUAAUAUAUCGGAACGUGCCCAGUCGUGGGGGAUAACGUAGCGAAAGUUACGCUAAUACCGCAUACGAUCUAAGGAUGAAAGCGGGGGAUCGCAAGACCUCGCGUGAUUGGAGCGGCCGAUAUCAGAUUAGGUAGUUGGUGGGGUAAAGGCUCACCAAGCCAACGAUCUGUAGCUGGUCUGAGAGGACGACCAGACACACUGGAACUGAGACACGGUCCAGACUCCUACGGGAGGCAGCAGUGGGGAAUUUUGGACAAUGGACGCAAGUCUGAUCCAGCCAUUCCGCGUGCAGGAUGAAGGCCCUCGGGUUGUAAACUGCUUUUGUACGGAACGAAAAGGUCUCUCUUAAUACGGGGGGCUCAUGACGGUACCGUAAGAAUAAGCACCGGCUAACUACGUGCCAGCCGCCGCGGUAA